AUGCACGCUAGCGGCAGGCUUCAUACCUGCCAGUCGUGGGGCAGCAGGACUGUAGCACUACAGUUGCUGGCGACCGGCAAAAGGGUGCGGAACACGUACGCAACUUACCCUGAACUGGGGGAUAGCCCGGGGAAACCCGGAUUAAUACCCCGUAAUAUAAGGGAGUGGCAUCACUUUAUUAUUAAAGCUCCGGCGGUUCGGGAUGGGCGUGCGGCUGAUUAGGUAGUUGGUUGAGGUAACGGCUCACCAAGCCUACGAUCAGUAACUGGUGUGAGAGCACGACCAGUCACACGGGCACUGAGGCACGGGCCCGACUCCUACGGGAGGCAGCAGUAAGGAAUAUUGGGCAAUGGAGGCAACUCUGACCCAGCCAUGCCGCGUGGAGGAGGAAGGCCCUCUGGGUUGUAAACUUCUUUUAUAGGGGACGAAACCUGUGUAUUCUUACGCAGUUGACGGUACCCUAGGAAUAAGCACCGGCUAACUCCGUG
rnacentral:rRNA from 1 species